rnacentral:rRNA from 1 species
UAGCUAGUUGGUGAGGUAACGGCUUACCAAGGCGACGAUCUGUAGCGGGUCUGAGAGGAUGAUCCGCCACACUGGAACUGAGACACGGUCCAGACUCCUACGGGAGGCAGCAGUGGGGAAUUUUGGACAAUGGGGGCAACCCUGAUCCAGCCAUGCCGCGUGAGUGAAGAAGGCCUUCGGGUUGUAAAGCUCUUUCGGCCGGGAAGAAAUCGCAUGGGCCAAUACCCUGUGUGGAUGACGGUACCGGAAUAAGAAGCACCGGCUAACUACGUGCCAGCAGCCGCGGUAAUACGUAGGGUGCGAGCGUUAAUCGGAAUUACUGGGCGUAAAGCGUGCGCAGGCGGUUUUGUAAGACAGGCGUGAAAUCCCCGGGCUCAACCUGGGAACUGCGUUUGUGACUGCAAGGCUAGAGUACGGCAGAGGGGGGUGGAAUUCCACGUGUAGCAGUGAAAUGCGUAGAGAUGUGGAGGAACACCAAUGGCGAAGGCAGCCCCCUGGGUCGAUACUGACGCUCAUGCACGAAAGCGUGGGUAGCAAACAGGAUUAGAUACCCUGGUAGUCCACGCCCUAAACUAUGUCAACUAGGUGUUGGGUGGGUAAAACCAUUUAGUACCGUAGCUAACGCGUGAAGUUGACCGCCUGGGGAGUACGGCCGCAAGGUUAAAACUCAAAGGAAUUGACGGGGACCCGCACAAGCGGUGGAUGAUGUGGAUUAAUUCGAUGCAACGCGAAAAACCUUACCUACCCUUGACAUGCCAGGAACUUGCCAGAGAUGGCUUGGUGCCCGAAAGGGAGCCUGGACACAGGUGCUGCAUGGCUGUCGUCAGCUCGUGUCGUGAGAUGUUGGGUUAAGUCCCGCAACGAGCGCAACCCUUGUCGUUAAUUGCCAUCAUUUAGUUGGGCACUUUAGCGAGACUGCCGGUGACAGACCGGAGGAAGGUGGGGAUGACGUCAAGUCCUCAUGGCCCUUAUGGGUAGGGCUUCACACGUCAUACAAUGGUCGGUACAGAGGGUCGCCAAGCCGCGAGGUGGAGCCAAUCCCAGAAAGCCGAUCGUAGUCCGGAUUGCAGGCUGCAACUCGCCUGCAUGAAGUCGGAAUCGCUAGUAAUCGUGGAUCAGCAUGUCACGGUGAAUACGUUCCCGGGUCUUGUACACACCGCCCGUCACACCAUGGGAGCGGGUUCCGCCGGAAGUAGGUAGCCUAACCGCAAGGAGGGCGCUUACCACGGCGGGGUUCGUGACUGGGGUGAAGUCGUAACAAGGUAGCCGUAGGGGAUCCUGCGGCUG